rnacentral:misc_RNA from 1 species
UAAAUGAGAAUAAGCCUUCAAACUUAUUGCCAGAAAGUAACAAGCGCUUAAUGGAUGUCAGUUUAGAAACAACUGAUUGCAUGUUGCCACUGAACUUAUUGGAUGAGAGAUCAAGAUAUCGGAGGUUGCUUAAGUUGCCAAGACAUUGAGGAAGUGGACCAGAGAAGUGAUUGUUACUAAGACCCAACUUAACGAGGCUUUUCAAUCCACAGAAUCCUCCCAUUGAGAUGCUGCCAUUGAAAUCAUUACGACUUAUAUCCAGUGUUUCCAAAAACUUCAUAUUAGCGAAUGCUCCCAUUAAGAUGCUGCCAUUGAAAUCAUUAUAACUUAUAUCCAAUGUUUC